GUCUGAUCUGCGCAGUUAACCAGAGUGCCGCCUAGUUAGUACCACGGUGGGGGACCACGCGGGAAUCCUGGGUGCUGUGGUUUUUGCUUCGAGUUCGG
rnacentral:rRNA from 1 species